UUAUGCUAGGAUGUGAUGGGGAAGCCCUCCUGGGCGAAGUAGCUGAUUUCACACUGUCAAGAAAAGCUUCUAUCGAGUUUAAAGGCGCCCGUACCGUAAACCGACACAGGUGGGUGAGGAGAGUAUCCUAAGGCCAGCGAGAGAACUAUUGUUAAGGAACUCGGCAAAAUGACCCCGUAACUUAGGGAGAAGGGGUGCCUGUCUAUGACAGGCCGCAGAGAAUAGGCCCAAGCGACUGUUUACCAAAAACACAGGUUUCUGCUAAGUCGCAAGACGAUGUAUAGGAGCUGACGCCUGCCCGGUGCUGGAAGGUUAAGGGGAUCUGUUAGAGCAAUCGAAGCAGUGAACUUAAGCCCCAGUAAACGGCGGCCGUAACGAUAACGGUCCUAAGGUAGCGAAAUUCCUUGUCGGGUAAGUUCCGACCCGCACGAAAGGCGUAACGAUUUGGGCACUGUCUCAACAACAGACUCGGUGAAAUUGUAAUCCCGGUGAAGAUGCCGGGUACCUGCGACAGGACGGAAAGACCCCAUGGAGCUUUACUGUAGCUUGACGUUGGGUCUUGGUACUACAUGUACAGGAUAGGUGGGAGACUAUGAAGCAUGGACGCCAGUCUGUGUGGAGUCAUCCUUGGGAUACCACCCUUGUAGUACUGGGAUCCUAACCAUAGGCCUUGAAUCAGGUCUUGGAACACCGUCAGGUGGGCAGUUUGACUGGGGCGGUCGCCUCCUAAAAAGUAACGGAGGCGCUCAAAGGUUUCCUCAGCACGGUCGGAAAUCGUGCGAAGAGUGUAAAGGCAAAAGGAAGCUUGAUUGCAAGACAUACAGGUCGAGCAAGGACGAAAGUCGGACUUAGUGAUCCGGUGGUACCGCAUGGAAGGGCCAUCGCUCAACGGAUAAAAGCUACCCUGGGGAUAACAGGCUUAUCUCCCCCAAGAGUCCACAUCGACGGGGAGGUUUGGCACCUCGAUGUCGGCUCAUCACAUCCUGGGGCUGUAGUAGGUCCCAAGGGUUGGGCUGUUCGCCCAUUAAAGUGGUACGCGAGCUGGGUUCAGAACGUCGUGAGACAGUUCGGUCCCUAUCCGUCGCAGGCGUAGGAAAUUUGAGAAGACCUGUCCUUAGUACGAGAGGACCGGGAUGGACGUACCUCUGGUGUACCAGUUGUUCUGCCAAGGGCAUGGCUGGGUAGCUAUGUACGGAAUGGAUAAGCGCUGAAAGCAUCUAAGCGCGAAGCCAACUUCAAGAUAAGAUUUCCCACCGUAAGGGUAAGACCCCAGGAAGACUACCUGGUUGAUAGGUCGAAGGUGUAAGUGCAGUAAUGUAUUUAGCUUAUCGAUACUAAUAGGUCGAGGACUUGAUC
rnacentral:rRNA from 1 species